CGGUUGAGACUGCAGUGCUGGAGUGCUGUAUAGGCAAGUGGAAUUCCCAGUGUAGCGGUGAAAUGCGUAGAUAUUGGGAAGAACACCGGUGGCGAAGGCGACUUGCUGGGCAGCAACUGACGCUGAGGCGCGAAAGCCAGGGGAGCAAACGGGAUUAGAUACCCCGGUAGUCCUGGCCGUAAACGAUGAAUGCUAGGUGUGGGUGUAGAGAUACAUUCGUGCCGGAGUUAACGCGAUAAGCAUUCCGCCUGGGGAGUACGGUCGCAAGAUUGAAACUCAAAGGAAUUGACGGGGGCCCGCACAAGCGGUGGAGCACGUGGUUUAAUUCGAUGCAAACCGAAGAACCUUACCUGGGUUUGACAUGUACGUGGUACCGGAUCUGAAAGGUGAAGGACCUUUUCUUCGGAAGAGGAAGCGUACACAGGUGCUGCAUGGCUUGUCGUAGCUCGUGUCGUGAGAUGUUGGGUUUAAGUCCCGCAACGAGCGCAACCCUGCUGCAGUUGCAACGGUUGAA
rnacentral:rRNA from 1 species